rnacentral:rRNA from 1 species
UUUGUAGAAGGUGCUUCGGAUGCAGUCCGGGUCCAAGUCCCUUGGAACAGGGUGUCGCAGAGGGUGAGAAUCCCGUAUGUGGCCAAGGACUAAAUCCAUGUGAAGCCCUUUCGACGAGUCGAGUUGUUUGGGAAUGCAGCUCUAAAUGGGUGGUAAAUUUCAUCUAAAGCUAAAUAUCUGCCAGAGACCGAUAGCGCACAAGUAGAGUGAUCGAAAGAUGAAAAGCACUUUGAAAAGAGAGUCAAAAAGUACGUGAAAUUGUUGAAAGGGAAGCGCUUGCAACCAGACUCGUUUGCGGGUGUUCAGCCUCUCUCCGGAGUGGUGCACUCUCCCGCCUCGGGCCAGCAUUAGUUUCGGCGGUUGGAUAAAGACUUUGGGAACGUAGCUUUACUUCGGUGAAGUGUUAUAGCUCAGAGUGUAAUGCGGCCAGCCGGGACUGAGGAACGCGCAUUGCUAGGAUGCUGGCGUAAUGGUUGCCAGCGACCCGUCUUGAAACACGAA